GACGAACUUUGGCGGCGUGCUUAACACAUGCAAGUCGAACGGAAAGGCCCUGCUUUUGUGGGGUGCUCGAGUGGCGAACGGGUGAGUAACACGUGAGUAACCUGCCCUUGACUUUGGGAGAACUUCAGGAAACUGGGGCUAAUACCGGAUAGGAGCUCCUGCUGCAUGGUGGGGGUUGGAAAGUUUCGGCGGUUGGGGAUGGACUCGCGGCUUAUCAGCUUGUUGGUGGGGUAGUGGCUUACCAAGGCUUUGACGGGUAGCCGGCCUGAGAGGGUGACCGGCCACAUUGGGACUGAGAUACGGCCCAGACUCCUACGGGAGGCAGCAGUGGGGAAUAUUGCACAAUGGGCGGAAGCCUGAUGCAGCAACGCCGCGUGCGGGAUGACGGCCUUCGGGUUGUAAACCGCUUUCGCCUGUGACGAAGCGUGAGUGACGGUAAUGGGUAAAGAAGCACCGGCUAACUACGUGCCAGCAGCCGCGGUGAUACGUAGGGUGCGAGCGUUGUCCGGAUUUAUUGGGCGUAAAGGGCUCGUAGGUGGUUGAUCGCGUCGGAAGUGUAAUCUUGGGGCUUAACCCUGAGCGUGCUUUCGAUACGGGUUGACUUGAGGAAGGUAGGGGAGAAUGGAAUUCCUGGUGGAGCGGUGGAAUGCGCAGAUAUCAGGAGGAACACCAGUGGCGAAGGCGGUUCUCUGGGCCUUUCCUGACGCUGAGGGGCGAAAGCGUGGGGAGCGAACAGGCUUAGAUACCCUGGUAGUCCACGCUGUAAACGGUGGGUACUAGGUGUGGGGUCCAUUCCACGGGUUCCGUGCCGUAGCUAACGCUUUAAGUACCCCGCCUGGGGAGUACGGCCGCAAGGCUAAAACUCAAAGGAAUUGACGGGGCCCCGCACAAGCGGCGGAGCAUGCGGAUUAAUUCGAUGCAACGCGUAGAACCUUACCUGGGUUUGACAUGGAUCGGGAGUGCUCAGAGAUGGGUGUGCCUCUUUUGGGGUCGGUUCACAGGUGGUGCAUGCCUGUCGUCAGCUCGUGUCGUGAGAUGUUGGGUUAAGUCCCGCAACGAGCGCAACCCUUGUUCACUGUUGCCAGCACGUUAUGGUGGGGACUCAGUGGAGACCGCCGGGGUCAACUCGGAGGAAGGUGGGGAUGACGUCAAGUCCUCAUGCCCCUUAUGUCCAGGGCUUCACGCAUGCUACAAUGGCUGGUACAGAGAGUGGCGAGCCUGUGAGGGUGAGCGAAUCUCGGAAAGCCGGUCUCAGUUCGGAUUGGGGUCUGCAACUCGACCUCAUGAGGUCGGAGUCGCUAGUAAUCGCAGAUCGGCAACGCUGCGGUGAAUACGUUCCCGGGGC
rnacentral:rRNA from 1 species